GGCCCGCCCUGAGGUGUCGCCACAGCGCGCAUGCGCGCCCCGCUCCCGCCCCGUCUCCCGGCGCAGAGGGACCCACAUGCUGCUGUUGGCACAGAGGUCUUCACAAAAGCCAGGCAGCUUUGGUCUUUCUUGUAUACCUGAAAAUAUUUACACAGCCUCUGCAGUGAAUCAAAGUGUUAAGGCUUUCUACCUCUUCCGAACACUCUGCAGUGCCUGAGGCUCAGUGCAAGCCCAGGCGAGCCCAGGCACCAGCUCUUCGGCUGCCAAGCAGCUGGCUUCCCUAACCCCAGCAGGACUGGUUUUGUGGUGUUUGCCCAGGUGACAGCUACUUGUUACAGGACUGAUGAAUCCAUCAAAGCAUCCAUUCACAUGGUGUGAGAGGUUGGAAAGCAACUUUAGCCAGUUCGGUCUGGAGAAACCAUACCCUGCCACCUGCUACCACAAAGAGCAGAGAUUCACAGUCUCAGGCACAUCGUCUUCAAGGGUCUCCGUGAACCCGUCUCCAAACCCCUCCGCUUCCACCAGGACAGGCUUCUUGUUGCACAUGGGGCAAAGCUGGUUGCGGAUGGCAGAUGAUCUCAUCCAAAUAAUGAGGUUCCAGCGUUCCCCGGAGGCAAUGGGAAGUGCCCCAUGGAUGUGCCCUCCUCGGUGUAACAGCCCUUGGGUUCCCACAUGUUCGAUCUCUAUGUACUUUGGCACAGGGGUGGGAUCCUGGAAUGGAGGGAGGCAGAUACAGCAUUACAUCGGGAGGUCAUUGGCAGGACAAUGCUCAAGCAGUUGCAAUUUUCACUUGCCACCUUUUCACCCACAGCACUCAGCAAAUGAAAUGGAGAAGACACUGCAGCUCUGAAAUGCAGUCACUUCUGCGGGGACUUGGCAGCAGUUCAGUACCACUGUUUGCAGGAAAGACAUAGCCAGUACCGGGUCCAGAGGGAAUUUAAACACAGUGUUUCAGUCAAAAAAGCUGGUUUAUUGGUGUAUCGGUGUUAUUACCCCUCUCUUGCCAGGAUUCCCCUGGGAAUAGGGGCCACAGAUUUAAAUGCCUUUUGUUUCUCUCUCUCCA